rnacentral:rRNA from 1 species
GACGAACCGUGCGAACGUUAUUCGGAAUCACUGGGCUUAAAGCGCGUGUAGGCGGAACGGCACGUCGGUCGCUGAAAUCCCCCGGCUCAACCGGGGAACGGGCACCGAUACGACCGUUCUCGAGGGACGUAGGGGGACCUGGAACUUCCGGUGGAGCGGUGAAAUGCGUUGAGAUCGGAAGGAACGCCCGUGGCGAAAGCGAGGUCCUGGACGUUUUCUGACGCUGAGACGCGAAAGCCAGGGGAGCGAACGGG